rnacentral:rRNA from 1 species
GUCGAACGGGCAGGCACGGGGAGCCAAUCCUGGUGGCGAGUGGCGAACGGGUGAGUAAUAUAUCGGAACGUGCCCAGUCUGGGGGGAUAACGUAGCGAAAGCUACGCUAAUACCGCAUACUAUCUAUGGAUGAAGCGGGGAUCGCAAGACCUCGCGCGAUUGGAGCGGCCGAUAUCAGAUUAGGUAGUUGGUGAGGUAAAGGCUCACCAAGCCGACGAUCUGUAGCUAGUCUGAGAGGACGACCAGCCACACUGGGACUGAGACACGGCCCAGACUCCUACGGGAGGCAGCAGUGGGGAAUUUUGGACAAUGGGCGCAAGCCUGAUCCAGCAAUGCCGCGUGCAGGAUGAAGGCCUUCGGGUUGUAAACUGCUUUUGUACGGAACGAAACGGUGAGCUCUAAUACAGUUUGCUAAUGACGGUACCGUAAGAAUAAGCACCGGCUAACUACGUG